CGCAUGCACGCUGGCGGCGUGCUUAACACAUGCAAGUCGUACCAAUGGAAACCGGUAGACUUUGUCUGUUGCGCUCGGAUUAGUGGCGAACGGGUGAGUAACACGUGAGCAACCUGCCCUGGACUCUGGGAUAAGCGCUGGAAACGGCGUCUAAUACUGGAUACGAGACGUGGCCGCAUGGUCAACGUUUGGAAAGAUUUUUCGGUCUGGGAUGGGCUCGCGGCCUAUCAGCUUGUUGGUGAGGUAAUGGCUCACCAAGGCGUCGACGGGUAGCCGGCCUGAGAGGGUGACCGGCCACACUGGGACUGAGACACGGCCCAGACUCCUACGGGAGGCAGCAGUGGGGAAUAUUGCACAAUGGGCGGAAGCCUGAUGCAGCAACGCCGCGUGAGGGAUGACGGCCUUCGGGUUGUAAACCUCUUUUAGCAGGGAAGAAGCGAAAGUGACGGUACCUGCAGAAAAAGCGCCGGCUAACUACGUGCCAGCAGCCGCGGUAAUACGUAGGGCGCAAGCGUUAUCCGGAAUUAUUGGGCGUAAAGAGCUCGUAGGCGGUUUGUCGCGUCUGCUGUGAAAUCCCGAGGCUCAACCUCGGGCCUGCAGUGGGUACGGGCAGACUAGAGUGCGGUAGGGGAGAUUGGAAUUCCUGGUGUAGCGGUGGAAUGCGCAGAUAUCAGGAGGAACACCGAUGGCGAAGGCAGAUCUCUGGGCCGUAACUGACGCUGAGGAGCGAAAGGGUGGGGAGCAAACAGGCUUAGAUACCCUGGUAGUCCACCCCGUAAACGUUGGGAACUAGUUGUGGGGUCCUUUCCACGGAUUCCGUGACGCAGCUAACGCAUUAAGUUCCCCGCCUGGGGAGUACGGCCGCAAGGCUAAAACUCAAAGGAAUUGACGGGGACCCGCACAAGCGGCGGAGCAUGCGGAUUAAUUCGAUGCAACGCGAAGAACCUUACCAAAGGCUUGACAUACACGAGAACGGGCCAGAAAUGGUCAACUCUUUGGACACUCGUGACAGGUGGUGCAUGGUGUCGUCAGCUCGUGUC
rnacentral:rRNA from 1 species